GGUGAUUAGUGACAGAGGGAAGGAUGGGGUGACUAGUGACAGAGUUAGGGAGGGGGUGACUAGUGACGGAGGGGGUGACUAGGGACAGAGUGAGGGAGGUGGUUACUAGUGACAGAGGGAGGGAUGGGGUGACUAGUGACCUCCCUCCCUCUGUCACUGUGUCACCCCCUCACUCUGCCACUAGUCACCCCUCCCUCACUCUGUCACCACCUCCCUCACUCUGUCACUAGUCACCCCUUCCUUCCCUCAUUCUGUCACUAGUCACCCCUUCCUUCCCUCAUUCUGUCACUAGUCACCCCUUCCUUCCCUCACUCUG